rnacentral:rRNA from 1 species
UACGGAGGGUGCAAGCGUUAUCCGGAUUUACUGGGUUUAAAGGGUGCGUAGGUGGGUAAGCAAGUCAGUGGUGAAAUCUUCGGGCUUAACCCGGAAACUGCCAUUGAUACUAUUUAUCUUGAAUACUUUGGAGGUAAGCGGAAUAUGUCAUGUAGCGGUGAAAUGCUUAGAUAUGACAUAGAACACCAAUUGCGAAGGCAGCUUACUACACAGUUAUUGACACUGAGGCACGAAAGCGUGGGGAUCAAACAGG